rnacentral:sRNA from 1 species
UAUCAAUUUUAUAAUUUUUGUCAAAUACUUUAAUCGUUAUUUUAAAAUUUCGGCCGAAUUUUUUAUAUUUUCCGGAAUUAAUUAUGGAAUCUUUCAUGGUGGACGCCAUUUAGAUUGGAACGUGGUCCCGAAAAUAAUAAAUUUAAAUAACUUUAUUUAACGUUCCUAUUAUUCGUUCAAUUUAUUAUUCGACAAUUAUAACGGUAUUAUUAAUUGAUUGCAAACUUUUCAAUAACCAUUUUAUUUAUAAAAAAGGUUUUUUUUCGCCAUGAAUUCGACGAUAUUUUGUGCUAUUUAUACCUUGUUAUUAUUAUUAUUUAAAUCGAAACGCCACAAAUUAUUAUUUUUGUUUUUUUACCGUUUAUUUUCUAUUCCUUUUGUUUUUCCAAUUAUUCCGACCGAUUGUCAAUUAAAUUCGACGUUAUAUUUAACGACGGUACGUUUUUUUGUUUUUUUUUGUUUUCUUUCGCGUUUUUAAUUGUUUUUUAAUUGCUAAUAACAGUUUUUAUUUUAUCGAUCCUCGACCUAUUUCCUGUUUGGUUAUUUAAAUUCCUGCCUGGUAAAAAAAUAAAUUGCGGUUAGUUGUUUGGGAAUUUGUUUCGAUAUAAAUCCGUUUUUUGGACGUUAUACGAAAUAUAAAUAAAAACAUUUAUAUAAACCAAUAUAAAAUAUUUUUACAAUAAUUAUUUUAGAAUUCUUUUUUUUGCAAUGUUUUUCUAACGUUUUUUUGAUUUAAUAAUCGUUUUUAAAUUUGCAAUAUUAUAUUUGCGCGCCUAUAAUUUAUAUAACGUUAAGAAAUUGUUUAAAAACGAAAUAAAGGCCGGCCGCAGUAAUAAUACCGGAACAGUUACCGUAACGCCUCGCAAACGCAAAAACGACGUCCUGCCGUUUAAAAUUCCAAUGACCAUAAUUAUUAUAAAUCCUUUUUCCCCGAACGUUUUUUUUGCGUUUUUUUAUAAUUAACAAACGUUUUUUAAAAUUUCGACCGUUGGUGCGUUACUACCAAAUAUAUAUUUUUAAUCGUUAUUUAUAAAACAAAUACGUUUUCGAACGACAAUUUCAAAUUUGUUUCGUUAUUGGAACGUCGUUCCGCGGAUUAUACCGCGGUAAUUCGCCAGGUUAACGUUUUAUAAAUCGAAGGAAUUAUUAAUACCAAUUCCGACGUUUUUACCGUUACAAUUAAUAACGAUUAAAAAAACAACGAUAAAAAAAAGAAAAUUUAAAACGGUACUUAAUAGGAAAUUCGAACCGGGAAUAUUUAGACAAAAACUAAUAUUUAUAUAUGAAAAUUUUGUUUCGUUAUUUUUAUUUUGAUCCGAAUAUUGCAAAAACGUUCCGGUUAUUUUCAGGUAUUUUUGCGGUUUUUUGAAUUUAAUUUCGAUUUGGCCGAAUAGCAAUUUGCUAUUAUUUAACGUUUUCGACGUCCGUACGUUUUAAUUAAAUUUGUUUUAGGCCGAAUUCCCGCGAACUUUUUCCGUACCCCGUAAUUUUUUAACCCAAUUUUUAAUUUAUAUAAACGUUCAAUUUAUAUUUAUAAAUUUAUUCAAAACCCGAUUCGGCGUUUUUUUCGUUAUUAUAUUAAUUGGAUUUGGUUCCCCCGAAAAUCCACCGCAUUUUGUUAAUUUCCCUAUUUUCGUACAAUUAUUUUAAGUUUAGGAAAUUAAUUAUAAACCAUGUUUCCGAAAUUAUUCCCAAUUGUACCAAAUAUUAGUAUAACGAUAAAUUAUCGGUAUAUAUAAUUAUAAAUAUAGGAAAUAUAUCCAACAAAUUUAUAAUAAUGGCGAUAAUAAUUUUCAACACAAAUUUUAUAUUAAACCCGCUUAUUAUAUUAUAAAUUUUAUUGUUUAAAACGUUUUUUAUUAUUUUGUGGCAUUUAGUCGAUACGUAAUAUAAAAUAUUACCGGUAACGCGAAAACCCAUUUUUAUUUGUCGGAACUUUUAUUACCUAAUAUAAUAGUAAAGCCGAUUUGUAAAUUCAAAUUUUUAUUAUUUGCAAAAAAACCGUCGACAAAUACAAAUAAUUCCCUUUUUUAAAAUUUACGGGAACGUAAAAUUCUUUUUUGGCGCGUUUUCCAAUUGCCAAUUUAUAUAUUUAUUUGUAGAUUUGUAAUUUGUUUUGUCCGGCGUUAUUAUUUGCGCCGCUGCGGCGAAAUCAAACGCCGUUUCCGGCUGGUAAAUUAAAUAUAAUAUACGUUUUUCGUACUUUUUAAAUAUAAAUUCGUGUUCGGAUCCCGCCUAAUUUGGUUUUAUUAUUUCCAAUUUGUUUAUUUAGUUUUUUUAACAAAUUUCUAAAGCUUUUUCGUGCAAUUUAAUUCGAUAACCGUUAAAAUUUUAUUUGUUUCCUGGUUUUAUAAUUGCUGGGUAAUUUUGCCUGGAAAUUUGUUUUUUUCGAAUUUUCGUUGUUUUUUUUUAAUAAACUUUUUAUUUUCCAAGUUUAACGUAUUAUUUAUUUGCAUUUUUAUUAUACCGAAAUCGUUCCGCGGUUAGGAAAAAAAUAAAUAAACAUUAUAAUUCGAUGGAACGCAAUUUAAACGUUCCCUAUAAUAUUAUUAAGAUAUAAUAAAUUAAUAUAAUUCCGUUUUGGCGAAAUUGUAUAAAGGUUUGAAAAUUUAACAACCGUGUUUUUCGGGAACCGGUAUGCUAUUUUUUCGGUAUAUAUUUUAAAACGUCCUUUUAAAAUGCUGUAAAGUUUUAUAUAUAUAUUUGGUUAACAUUUCCGAAUAUAAAAAUAUAUUCGCGUUUUUUAAAACCGGUAUAAACCUUAAUAUAAACCGUUGGUUACACCGUAUAAUUGCGGGUAAUUGCGUAAAUAAAACCUUUUUUUUGUUAUUAUUAUAGGCCUGCAUUAUAAAACGUGAUUUUCUAUAUAAUUGUUUAAAUUAUUUUUUAAUUUCGUUUAUAAAACGUAAUUCAAAACUUUUUUAAUUUUCGGAUUGGCGUUUAUCCACCGGUUAUAAUAUUUUUACAAUUAAUAAUAUAUCGGUUUCGCGCCAUAUAAAUUUUUCGAAUAAUUUGCCUGGAAUUUUAAUUUUAUUUUCCUCUUUAUAUUUAAUUACGAAUUUGUACGUUUUAUAUUUUUUUAUUACGUAAUAAUAUAUAACCGUUUUUCGGAUAAUCUUUUCUAAUUGUUUAUUUUUCGUUUUUCCGUUUUUGUUAUAAUUUAAUAAUAUAUUUGGCGUUCCGCCGUUUUUUAAUAUCGUUUUCGGGGGUAACCCUUAAAUUGUUAUUUCGGUUUCGGUUUUUUUUUGGUUGUACUGGUACCGGAGCUGUUAACAUUUUAUUUAUUGCUUUUUUCGGUUUUCCUCGUUUUUUGGUUAUUCGGGUUUUGAAUAAUCGAAUUUCGGAUUUUUUGGCAUAUUUUUAUCGCCUGGGUCCUCCUUUUUUUUAAAACGGUUAUACGGUUUUACGUGCGUAUUCCGGAACGUAAAAAAACUAUUUAUUAUAUCGACCGUUAUAAAAAUAUUUGUUACGUUUAAUAUUUUAUACGGUCCGGUCCAUUUUUUUUUGUUUUAUAUACCAAAACCUCGGAUUCCAGUUCCAUUAUUAUUAACAUCCUUUUUUUUA